rnacentral:rRNA from 1 species
UACGGGGGGGGCAAGCGUUGUUCGGAAUUACUGGGCGUAAAGGGCUCGUAGGCGGCCAACUAAGUCAGGCGUGAAAUCCCUCGGCUUAACCGGGGAACUGCGUCUGAUACUGGAUGGCUUGAGUGUGGGAGAGGGAUGCGGAAUUCCAGGUGUAGCGGUGAAAUGCGUAGAUAUCUGGAGGAACACCGGUGGCGAAGGCGGCAUCCUGGACCAUUACUGACGCUGAGUGAGCGAAAGCCAGGGGAGCAAACGGG